GCGACCGUGGUGGAAUUGGUAGACACGCUAUCUUGAGGGGGUAGUGCAGUUACUGUGUGCGAGUUCGAGUCUCGCCGGUCGCACCA
rnacentral:tRNA from 1 species